UGCUUGGUGAAUGGAUUGUGUAUGGGCGUGAGAGUAAAACUUUACAAGGUCGAGAGUCAUACAAAAGCCAAAGCCGCAUUAAAGCCAGUCCCAGCCAGGCUUAAGGAGAGCUGGAAUGGAGAGGAUUCUCAUCUAACAUCUGGGUUGCAGUUGUAUGUUAACAUGGACUUCCUAGGAAGUAACAUAUCAAACAAAAGGGAAAGUGAUCAACCAGCAGCAGGUACCAGCCACAGUUAACUGCACCUGCUAGGAGCUCUGAAAGACUUUUUUUUUUUUUAAACGAAUAAAGAAAUUCUCAUUUCACUCUCCUCCACACUGGACUCGCUGAAGAAAGAGCUACUCUCUGAUGAAGUUGGUGGUGCUGUGGAAGAGGACCGCCGCCUCCUGGACGAGGACCGGGACCGCUCAGCAUUGUCUGACUGACAGGAAAGGACCCAGAUAAGAUCCUGGAGGCAAUGGGAUGUGUGGCUGCUCAACACAGACCGACCACACUUGCUCACUGCCGUGUCAUCUCAUACCCUUCCACCCUGGACAUACAUACCUUCUCACAUGCACCAAGACUCUGUGCAUGGAGAGAAUCCUCAAACCAACAGAAAAAUGAUUGACACAGAAGCCAAGUGCCAGCACUGCGUAUAAGUAACACUACCACCAUCCACAGUGAAGUUAAAAGGAGUUCGAGUAAAUUCUUAGAUCCAUCUUCAUACUUCCACUUCCUCAGACAGCCGGGAGAGCCACCUUUCAGAAGCUUUUUUCAUCUGAUCCUCAUGUCCUUUCAAAGGGAUGUUCACAAGUUUUGAGAACAAAUUUAGGAGUUUGAAGAAAAUGAGAGUAAGUCAUGGAGAGUAGAAGACAUUCCAAAGUGGUAAAUGUAGGCUGAAAAUGUAGCAUCUGAACCUGGGAGGCUCUGACCAUCUACUAUAAACGUGGACCUACUAACUGCAAUGAAGUAUCACAGGACUGUCUGAUAGACCAUUGUUCUGAUCUCUUGAAAAAGAGACUCUGUGUGGUACUCUAAGAAUUACAGUCCUCCCGCUCCGUGAUCAAGGUGUGCUCAUUCCAAGUUGUGAGAGUCUUCUGUGCUGAAAGACGAGCAACUACUUGCUGGGGCACCGAUUGGAGGGUCCAGGCAAGGUCAAGAGUUAUGCAAGAUGAAGCUGGCUCACUUCCGAAAGCUUUCUAGGUUCAAGACUCCUCCGGCCCCUGCCCGUGUCUCGUCACUCCUUGCCUAGCUGAUGUGCCAGACUUAAGAGACAAUAUGCAGCUGCCCAAUCUCACUCCACACCUUUGUAACCAAAAUGAAUUAUGAUGUUCCCUUUGCUUGGACUGGCCUUUGCUACCUCGAUUUCCUGACGAUGGGCUAACACCUCUUCAUCCUUCAAAGUAAUGCAGGAAUCAAUAGGAUGGAAUACUGCAAAGGGAAGCUUGGAGAGAGAAUAGCCUCUGCACUUUGACUGUUUUGCAGUUAACCAAAGGCCAUCGAGGAUCAGAAUUACAAAAAUCAAACAGACCCAUGAGCUUGAGCUCAGUUGUGCAAAAUGUUUGUCAGUCAUCUCUCUUCAAAACAAACACAGGACAUCUUCUUAAAUUCUACCUCUGUUAAACUAUACUUCCCAAACAAGAACCUAUCAAACCCAGAGACAUUUCCUUCUAUUAAAAUAACAAAAUUAGGCUGAUGACAGUCAAACUCUUAGCCAAAUACAAUAGCUGGAUCUAAAACCAUUCAGUUCUCAGUGCAGUGAACUUAAAUGGCCACUAGGCAGGUGAAAGUCAAAAGGAUCAAAACCAGCUUUCUCCUCCAUUCUACCAAUCAGGCUAAGAAUUACUAUGUGCCCAGCUUGGUAGCCACAGGGGUGCUCUAGAGGAUAUAAAUAAGUAUUUGCAUGUGUUCUACAUAGGCUUUGAGGAAGCUUAUAGGAAAUAUCUGACCUGGAAGCAUAUUAGAAAAGGAAAUAGGAGCUGCACUACAGCACUGUUCAAAAUAACUUUCUGCAAAAAUAAUGAAAAUAUUCAAUAUCUGUGCUGUGCAACACAGUGGCCACUAGCCACAUGUGUCUACUGAGCACCUGAAGAUGAAUAGUGUCAAAUGAGGAACUAGAUUUUUAAGUUUAUGUCAUUUUAAUAAAUUAAAAUUUUGAUUGAUUGAUCGACUGAGACAGAGUCUUGCUCUGUCACCCAGU
rnacentral:lncRNA from 1 species